AUUGAACGCUGGCGGAAUGCUUUACACAUGCAAGUCGAACGGCAGCACGGACUUCGGUCUGGUGGCGAGUGGCGAACGGGUGAGUAAUGUAUCGGAACGUGCCCAGUCGUGGGGGAUAACGUAGUGAAAAUUACGCUAAUACCGCAUACGAUCUAUGGAUGAAAGCGGGGGACCGCAAGACCUCGCGCGAUUGGAGUGGCCGAUAUCAGAUUAGGUAGUUGGUGGGGUAAAGGCCCACCAAGCCAACGAUCUGUAGAUGGUCUGAGAGGACGACCAGCCACACUGGAACUGAGACACGGUCCAGACUCCUACGGGAGGCAGCAGUGGGGAAUUUUGGACAAUGGGCGAAAGCCUGAUCCAGCCAUUCCGCGUGCAGGAUGAAGGCCCUCGGGUUGUAAACUGCUUUUGUACAGAACGAAAAGGUUUCUACUAAUACUAGGAGCUCAUGACGGUACUGUAAGAAUAAGCACCGGCUAACUACGUGCCAGCAGCCGCCGUAA
rnacentral:rRNA from 1 species